AGUCAGUUGGCUGCUGUGAGGAUAUGGAAGAGUUGGUGCCUGGAGGAGCUGCCUACAAGUGAAGUCAAGGAGCUCCUUCUCUUCUCACAAUGAUUGUGAUCAGAAAUUGGAGGAUGAGGGAAUGGUCCAGUAUUGUCCUUCUCAUACUCACAAAGAUUAAGCCAGAGAUUCACCAUGAAUCCAGCAAGAAAGUGGAAUAAAGAAGUGUUAAGGCAGGAGGAAGUAAGAGAGUUAUGGCCUGGAGGUGCCAUAAAUCCUGCUGCUCCAGAUGUGAGCCUGGGUAGGCAGUAAAGUCAGCCAAAUGGAGUGCACCUCCUCCCCAUGCAAAGCAGUGUCCUCUUGUAAGUCAUUAAAGGAAUUGUGAUUUAUCA